UACGUAGGGGGCAAGCGUUGUCCGGAAUUAUUGGGCGUAAAGCGCGCGCAGGCGGUCCUUUAAGUCUGAUGUGAAAGCCCACGGCUCAACCGUGGAGGGUCAUUGGAAACUGGGGGACUUGAGUACAGAAGAGAAGAGUGGAAUUCCACGUGUAGCGGUGAAAUGCGUAGAGAUGUGGAGGAACACCAGUGGCGAAGGCGACUCUUUGGUCUGUAACUGACGCUGAUGCGCGAAAGCGUGGGGAGCAAACAGG
rnacentral:rRNA from 1 species